UUCAGUUCUAGAUCAACCCAACAGUCCAGAGCAGCAGCAACCAGAGCAACAGUCUGAGCAGCCAGGCACCUGUGAGAGGGUGGCCCCCUUACCUCCCUGGGCAAAAUACUAUCGUGGAAGAUGCUGGUACAUCUGCAAAAGUUGGCCUCUGCGCAUUGAAUUUGAGCCUGAAGGUAUCGCCUGUGGGCUGAUGACCGUGAACAACACUAAGAGGGUCUGCAAGAAUGGAACCUGUGUUAAAGCCGAACCUUCCAGCGAAGAAUCGGAGCAGCCAAAACGACUCAUUCCGACCCAAGAGUCCACAUCUAAAGGAGGAACUGGGGUUGGAAAUCUGCUGGGUACGUCGAAGAAGCAGGAUACAGAAGAUACUACUUCGUCCGCUUCGACAAAAGAGAAAUCAACAACAAGUAUUGGAAAAGGCCUCCUAUCGAAGAAGCAAUAGCUUCAGAUGCACUCAGGAAGCGCACGAGCUUUGUAACUGUGUGACAGAUGUUGCGAUGUGGAAGACGGCACUGCUCAAGCGUAUU